rnacentral:rRNA from 1 species
CAGCCGCCGCGGUAAUACCAGCCCCUCGAGUGGUGGGGAUGAUUAUUUGGCCUAAAGCGUCCGUAGCUGGCUGUGUAAGUCCCUCGUUAAAUCCAACGUCCUAAGCGUUGGGCGUUGCGAGGAAUACUGUAGAGCUAGAGGGUGGGAUAGGUCAGCGGUAUUCUGGGGGGAGGGGCGAAAUCCUUUGAUCCCCGGAGGACCACCAGUGGCGAAGGCUGCUGACUAGAACACGCCUGACAGUCAGGGACGAAAGCUGGGGUAGCGAACCGGAUUAGAUACCCGGGUAGUCCCAGCCGUAAACGAUGCAUGCUAGGUGUUGGGUUGGCCAUGCGCCGCCUCAGUGCCACAGGGAAGCCAUUAAGCAUGCCGCCUGGGGAGUACGGCCGCAAGGCUGAAACUUAAAGGAAUUGGCGGGGGAGCACCACCAGGCGUGAAGCCUGCGGUUUAAUUGGAGUCAACGCCGGGAAACUUACCGGGGGCGACAGCAGAGUGAAGGCCAGGCUGAAGACCUUGCCAGACAAGCUGAGAGGAGGUGCAUGGCCGUCGUCAGUUCGUGCCGUGAGGUGUCCUCUUAAGUGAGGUAACGAACGAGACCCGUGCCCCAUGUUGCCAUCAAAUCCUAUAUGGAUGUUGGGCACUCUUGGGGGACCGCUGUCGAUAAGGCAGAGGAAGGUACGGGCAACGGCAGGUCAGUAUGCCCCGAAUCCCCCGGGCCACACGCGGGCUGCAAUGGUAGGGACAGAGGGCUGCAACCCCGAGAGGGGAAGCCAAUCCCUAAACCCUACCUCAGUUGGGAUUGAGGGCUGUAACCCGCCCUCAUGAACUUGGAAUGCCUAGUAACCGCGCGUCAUCAUCGCGCAGUGAAUACGUCCCUGCCCCUUGCACAC